GUAGAACCAUUAUUUGGGGGGCUUGGCUUCCGGAAAACUCAAACCACGUCACAUUAGAAAAGGUCAGGAGGCAUUUCCACAGGGAUGCAGACCUGACAUUUUUUCUCAUGUUCUCAACCUUUCAUCUGGAGCAGAGACCACCCCCUCCCUGCUGACCCAAUGCAUCCACCAGAGGCAUCCCUGGCCACCUAGUUCCCUGGACCAAGAUGAGGCCUUGCUAUGUCCCAGGCCCUGCUGGGAUCCCCCUCCACCUCCUGAUGCUGCUGAUAGCCACAAAGGGAAGCAGAGAAGUGAACCCCAGUGGCCACCACACUGCAAGCAUCAGGAAACAUUUACUGCCUAGAAGGAUGACCUCUGGUGAUUCAGUUUCUCCACUGGAAAAAGUCCUCCAUGCCCCUCUCUCCAUUCUCUAUACAGUGUGAGUAUAGCCUCAGUUGCAUUAUAUAAUGGCUGCUAGUGUUCUGGACCUAGGUGAGUAUGGUGCACUAAAGAAGGUCAUUGAGUUUUUUUUUCCAUUUUUCUCUCAGAAAGUGAUAUUUUUUCCCCUUAAAUCUGAAUUGGCUUUGUGACUACUUUAACCAGUAAAAUAUAGUGGAAAUGAUGCUGUGACAAUUCUAAGGUUAGCCUUCAGAAGGCUUGGAUGUGUCCACUUUUGUACUCUUAGGAGCCCUGAGAUACCAUGUAAUAAGGCUAGCUAUCUUGCUGGGGAGGCCGUGAAGAAAGGCCACAAUCAGAGGACAAGCAUAGAGAAGGCGGCCCUGAAACACGGGUAAAGAGAGGCCCCAACAUCCCAGCAGCCCAGCUUAUCCCAGCCUUCUAGCAUGAACAACCAAGGCACCAGAUAGGUGAGUGAGCCAUUUUGGAUGUUGCAG
rnacentral:lncRNA from 1 species